rnacentral:rRNA from 1 species
GAUGAACGCUGGCGGCGUGCCUAAUACAUGCAAGUCGAGCGAACGGACGAGAAGCUUGCUUCUCUGAUGUUAGCGGCGGACGGGUGAGUAACACGUGGAUAACUUACCUAUAAGACUGGGAUAACUUCGGGAAACCGGAGCUAAUACCGGAUAAUAUUUUGAACCGCAUGGUUCAAUAGUGAAAGACGGUCUUGCUGUCACUUAUAGAUGGAUCCGCGCUGCAUUAGCUAGUUGGUAAGGUAACGGCUUACCAAGGCAACGAUGCAUAGCCGACCUGAGAGGGUGAUCGGCCACACUGGAACUGAGACACGGUCCAGACUCCUACGGGAGGCAGCAGUAGGGAAUCUUCCGCAAUGGGCGAAAGCCUGACGGAGCAACGCCGCGUGAGUGAUGAAGGUCUUCGGAUCGUAAAACUCUGUUAUUAGGGAAGAACAUAUGUGUAAGUAACUGUGCACAUCUUGACGGUACCUAAUCAGAAAGCCACGGCUAACUACGUG